rnacentral:miRNA from 1 species
CGACGAAAAAAAGAAAGAAAGAAA